CAGAUGUUAGAGGAGAGGAGAGUGGCAAGGGCAGUGACGGCCGCAGCGAAUCAGGGGGAGUUCGUUUAACCGGAGCAGGAAGGCUGUUUAAGCAGCCGGUUUUCUGCUGGCUUUGGCUUAGAGCCUAGUGAGGAUGAACUACCAGCUACAAAUGGAGCCAGGGAAGAGGAGGGCGAGCAGAGGAAAGUUGAAGAAUUAGGGCAGACUGUUCAAAAAGGACUGGCCAUUUUAGCCUUCCAUUAAAAAGAAGAGCAAGGGGGACAGAGAGCACAAAGAGCAGAAGAGAAUCUUAUCAGACAUCCUGGAGCUUCCAUGAUGGUCUCAACGUUGUGUCCUUUUAUUGUUUUCUUGGAAGGUAUCUUGGCCUUGGUUCUCUGAAAAAUGAAGACUUUGGAACUGCCAGAUCUGCCAGUCCAGUCUAACAGAAUUAAAAUAAUUUCUACGUCAUUGAAUUGGUCCACAUAUCACUGAGCUAAGACAUCACUUACUCCAAAGGAGCACCCAGUGUCUUCAAAUUCUCUGCUUCGGAGCCCUGGGACACAGAAAUGCUCUUGCAUCGUGCUGGUUUGUAUUUCCCCAAGCUUGUGUUCCAACGUUCUCUAGUUUGCUCAGUAAGCUCCACAGUUCUAGUAGACAAUAGUCAUUUGCUCUUGUCUCUUCUCCCAUUUUUUCAUUCUAAAAAAGUUAUUUUUUUAAGCUUUUAACUGUGGUAAAACACCAGUAUCAAAUUUUAUGAUUGUAAUCAUUUUCAAG
ensembl:lncRNA